rnacentral:rRNA from 1 species
GAAUCCCGUCUUUGGCAUGGAUGACCGGGGCUUUUGUGAUGCGCUCUCGAAGAGUCGAGUUGUUUGGGAAUGCAGCUCAAAAUGGGUGGUGAACUCCAUCUAAAGCUAAAUAUUGGCGAGAGACCGAUAGCGAACAAGUACCGUGAGGGAAAGAUGAAAAGCACUUUGGAAAGAGAGUGAAACAGUACGUGAAAUUGUUGAAAGGGAAACGCUUGAAGUCAGUCGCGUCGACCGAGACUCAGCCUUGCCCUUGGCUUGGUGUACUUCUCGGCUGACGGGUCAGCAUCAAUUUUGCCCCUUGGAUAAUGGCGAGGGAAAUGUGACACCUUUACGGUGUGUUAUAGUCUCUUGUCGCAUGCAAGGGUUGGGAUUGAGGAACUCAGCACGCACCUUUGGGUGUCGGGGCUUUGCCCACGAUACGUGCUUAGGAUGUUGGCGUAAUGGCUUUAAACGACCCGUCUUGAAACACGGACCAAGGAGUCUAACAUGCCUGCGAGUGUUCGGGUGGAAAACUCGUGCGCGCAAUGAAAGUGAAAGUUGGGACCUCUGUCGUGGAGGGCACCGACGCCCGGACCAGACCUUCUGUGACGGCUCUGCGGUAAAGCAUGUAUGUUAGGACCCGAAAGAUGGUGAACUAUGCCUGAAUAGGGUGAAGCCAGAGGAAACUCUGGUGGAGGCUCGUAGCGAUUCUGACGUGCAAAUCGAUCGUCAAAUUUGGGUAUAGGGGCGAAAGACUAAUCGAACCAUCUAGUAGCUGGUUCCUGCC